UACGGAGGGGGCUAGCGUUGUUCGGAAUUACUGGGCGUAAAGCGCACGUAGGCGGCUUUGUAAGUUAGAGGUGAAAAGCCCAGGGCUUAACCCUGGAAUUGCCUUUAAGACUGCAUCGCUAGAAUCGUGGAGAGGUGAGUGGAAUUCCGAGUGUAGAGGUGAAAUUCGUAGAUAUUCGGAAGAACACCAGUGGCGAAGGCGACUCACUGGACACGUAUUGACGCUGAGGUGCGAAAAGCGUGGGGAGCAAACAGGG
rnacentral:rRNA from 1 species